rnacentral:rRNA from 1 species
AUUGAACGCUGGCGGCAGGCCUAACACAUGCAAGUCGAGCGAGCGGCGGACGGGUGAGUAAUGUAUGUGGAUCUGCCCGAUAGAGGGGGUUAACUACUGGAAACGGUGGCUAAUACCGCAUACUAUCGGCUGACCCAUAUGGGAUUAGCUAGUAGGUGGGGUAAAGGCUCACCUAGGCGACGAUCUCUAGCUGGUCUGAGAGGAUGAACAGCCACACUGGGACUGAGACACGGCCCAGACUCCUACGGGAGGCAGCAGUGGGGAAUAUUGCACAAUGGACGAAAGCCUGACCGAGCAACGCCGCGUGAGUGAAGAAGGUUUUCGGAUCGUAAAACUCGUUGUUAGAGAAGACGGUAUCUAACCAGAAAGCCACGGCUAACUACGUGCCAGCCGCCGCGGUAAUUC